GCAUCCUACCUCGGCCGGAUUCGUCGGCCGGUUACGUCACAGCGCCGCGACUCGGCCUGUCCCAAUUCGAAGACUCCUUCAAAUGCGGUCGACGAAUGCGGCCUUCUUUUCGCCUGAAUGAAGGAUGGGUCGGGUGUAUCCUUCAAUAGGUAGCAUUUCCCAAGAUGCCUUGCGGGCCGGCCGGCAGAAAAACUUAAAAACAAUGGCGGACAGUGAAGCGGGAGCUGUCGGAGAGGAUUGCGCAUAUAAAUGUAAGUAUAAACUUGAAAACUGUCAGUUUAAGGACUUUUUGUGAUACAUGAACGUUAUUUUAGUUAGAAAUGUUACAGUAAAAGUGCUUGUAUUGCGGUCUCGGCUCGUAUGUUCGGCCGCGCUCGGUGUCGUACUUCUCCCACUACGUUUCCCCCUGAUUUUAAUAGAAGUUUGUAUUUUAGGACCAAAAGAGAAAACCAGGGAAUUUAUUAAGCUUAGGGCGGAGAUGGACCACAUGAUCACCGGAGCAAAGUAUUCGGCGGCUGUGGCAUGGAGACUAUUCUGGAGAAAAUGGGCAUCCAGGGGAAGGUGCCAGCGAUGAGCUUCUGGAGCUGAUCUGGGAGGACAUGAGGCUGCAGAGCAGCAGAGAGCACAGGAGAGAAGGAAGAACUUUGACAGCUUUUUACUUUGCUAGAAAAAAAUGGUUAAUGAAGAUUAAACAUGUACAUGUAAAAGAAAUAUCUAAAUAAAAUCAGUUCUGCAUUAAA